GUUAUAAGACGAGUCGGGAAAGUUUUUUCGCUAAGAGAUCAGUCUAUGUCCUAUCAGCUAGUUGGUGAGGUAAUGGCUCACCAAGGCUAUGACGGGUAUCUGGUUUGAGAGGAUGAUCAGACACACUGGAACUGAGACACGGUCCAGACUCCUACGGGAGGCAGCAGUGAGGAAUAUUGCACAAUGGAGGAAACUCUGAUGCAGCAACGCCGCGUGGAGGAUGACGCAUUUCGGUGUGUAAACUCCUUUUAAGAGGGAAGAUAAUGACGGUACCUCUUGAAUAAGCACCGGCUAACUCCGUGCCAGCAGCCGCGGUAAUACGGAGGGUGCAAGCGUUACUCGGAAUCACUGGGCGUAAAGGGUGCGUAGGCUGGCUUCUAAGUCAGAUGUGAAAUCCAAUGGCUUAACCAUUGAACUGCAUUUGAAACUGGGAGCCUAGAGUUCAGAAGGGGGCAGAUGGAAUUAGUGGUGUAGGGGUAAAAUCCGUAGAUAUCACUAGGAAUAUCAAAAGCGAA
rnacentral:rRNA from 1 species